rnacentral:rRNA from 1 species
UGGGGAAUUUUGGACAAUGGGCGAAAGCCUGAUCCAGCAAUGCCGCGUGUGUGAAGAAGGCCUUCGGGUUGUAAAGCACUUUUGUCCGGAAAGAAAUCCUUGGCUCUAAUACAGUCGGGGGAUGACGGUACCGGAAGAAUAAGCACCGGCUAACUACGUGCCAGCAGCCGCGGUAAUACGUAGGGUGCAAGCGUUAAUCGGAAUUACUGGGCGUAAAGCGUGCGCAGGCGGUUUGCUAAGACCGAUGUGAAAUCCCCGGGCUCAACCUGGGAACUGCAUUGGUGACUGGCAGGCUAGAGUAUGGCAGAGGGGGGUAGAAUUCCACGUGUAGCAGUGAAAUGCGUAGAGAUGUGGAGGAAUACCGAUGGCGAAGGCAGCCCCCUGGGCCAAUACUGACGCUCAUGCACGAAAGCGUGGGGAGCAAACAGGAUUAGAUACCCUGGUAGUCCACGCCCUAAACGAUGUCAACUAGUUGUUGGGGAUUCAUUUCCUUAGUAACGUAGCUAACGCGUGAAGUUGACCGCCUGGGGAGUACGGUCGCAAGAUUAAAACUUCAAAUGGAAUUGACGGGG